GUUUUUUUUUAAAUAUAAACUUCACAGGCUGGAGGACAGCUCAAUGGUUCGGGGCACUGGUUAUUCUUCAGGAGGACCUGGGAUCAGUUCCCAGCACCUACGGUAGCACACAACCAUCUAUAACUUCAAUUCUAGGGACUAUGGGGAGUCCACUGUCCACCUAGGGUACCAGGCACAUUUGCACUGUACAUACAUACUUACAGACAGACAGACAGGCAGACAGACAGACAGACAGAUAGACAGAUGACAUACAUAACUACAUUAAGGCAAACAAACAUGCCUAUAGAGUUAAAUUUAAACCUUUCAAAAUAUAAAUAAAUAAUAAAAUAAAUUUUACCUUACAAGAAUCAUUCUUUGGAUCAGUCAAGUUAUUUCAGCAGGGAAAAAAAGGAUACUUUGACACCAUGAGGAUGAAAAGAAAGCAUUAUGGGACACAGACAUGUUCGAUUCAGAAGGGGAAAUGAAGCAUUUUGCUUGUCACUGAAGCACAGCCUGCAGUCUGCUCACUCCACUCAGGGCCACAGUCUCCUAGUAUCUUCAUUGACUGACAGAUGGGGGCCCAUAGGAGUUUGGUUGCACAAUGUUCAUAUAUCUGCCCUGGCCUUGAACUCACACUCCCCCUGUCUCAAUCCAAGUGCACUACUGGGCUUACAGGCUUUGUCCUAUGAGCAGUUUCAACCAGACAGGAUGGACUCAUAAAUGUCCAUGAGAGCCAGGGUUUACAUAAGAGAGGGCAGGGACAAAACCACGGAUACUGCUAUGAGACCACUAAUAAUGCAGGCAUAGUAAGAACAUCCUUCCAAGGGGCAUUUACACAACUAUAAGCACUUAUAUUUUAAUGAACACGGCUCUCCUUGAGUCUGAUCAGGACUGGUGUUUGUGAUGUCAGGGUCCACAAACUUGCUGCUGGGUGCCCUGAGUGACUCAAAGUGUCACCUUUGCUUUCCCCAGGAUGGCGCUGAAACAUUGUAUUCCUUCAAGUAUCAAAUCAAGGAGGGCAACUGCUCUGUUCAGAGUGGCCUCACCUGGCAGGACUGUGACUUCAAGGACGCUGAGGAAGCCGCUACUGGCGAAUGCACAACAACUUUGGGGAAGAAA
rnacentral:sRNA from 1 species